GGAGCUGUGAACUUUGCUCUUAUGAUGUCACAAAUGGAGGGAGGCUGCCCAGUAGAUUAUAAUACAAUAACUGAUCUUUUCCUUCAGAGAAAUAUGAUACGGGAGGCAACAAUGUUUCUGUUGGAUGUUCUGAAACCAAACUUGCCAGAGCAUGCUUUUAUUCAAACCAAGGUUUUGGAGAUAAACUUAGUGACUCACCCGAAUGUUGCUGAUGCCAUUCUUGCUAAUGGUAUGUUCAGUCAUUAUGAUCGCCCUCGUAUUGCUCAGCUGUGUGAAAAGGCUGGGUUGUACUUGCGAGCCCUCCAGCAUUACUCAGAGUUGCCUGAUAUCAAGCGUGCCAUUGUAAAUACCCAUGUCAUUGAACCACA